GACGAACGCUGGCGGCGUACUUAACACAUGCAAGUCGAACGGAAAGGCCCUGCUUUUGUGGGGUGCUCGAGUGGCGAACGGGUGAGUAACACGUGAGUAACCUGCCCUUGACUUUGGGAUAACUUCAGGAAACUGGGGCUAAUACCGGAUAGGAGCUCCUGCUGCAUGGUGGGGGUUGGAAAGUUUCGGCGGUUGGGGAUGAACUCGCGGCUUAUCAGCUUGUUGGUGGGGUAGUGGCUUACCAAGGCUUUGACGGGUAGCCGGCCUGAGAGGGUGACCGGCCACAUUGGGACUGAGAUACGGCCCAGACUCCUACGGGAGGCAGCAGUGGGGAAUAUUGCACAAUGGGCGGAAGCCUGAUGCAGCAACGCCGCGUGCGGGAUGACGGCCUUCGGGUUGUAAACCGCUUUCGCCUGUGACGAAGCGUGAGUGACGGUAAUGGGUAAAGAAGCACCGGCUAACUACGUG
rnacentral:rRNA from 1 species